rnacentral:rRNA from 1 species
AUACGUAGGGGGCGAGCGUUGUCCGGAAUUAUUGGGCGUAAAGGGCGCGUAGACGGCCGAGUAAGUUAUAGGUGAAAGCCCAUCUUUCAAGGAUGGAACUGCCUGUAAUACUGCCUGGCUUGAGUGCAGGAGAGGGAAGCGGAAUUCCUAGUGUAGCGGUGAAAUGCGUAGAUAUUAGGAGGAACACCAGUGGCGAAGGCGGCUUUCUGGACUGUAACUGACGUUGAGGCGCGAAAGCGUGGGGAGC